GGGGGGGGGGGGGGGGGGGGGGGGGGGGGGGGGGGCGGGGGGGGGGGGCGGGGGGGGGGGGGGGGCGCGGGGGGCGGAGGGGUGGGGAGCGCGUGCGUGAGCUGCCCGUGGGUUUGGGCUGACUUGCGGCAACUGGGGCUAAUCCCGGAUGGGCGCUCCUGCUGCAUUGUUGGGUGUGGCAAGUUUCGGCGGUUGGGGAUGGACGCGCGGCGUAUCAGCGUGUUGGUGUGGUAGCGGCGUACCAAGGCUUUGACGGGUAGCCGGCCUGAGAGGGUGACCGGCCACAUUGGGACUGAGAUACGGCGCAGACUCCUACGGGAGGCAGCAGUGGGGAAUAUUGCACAAUGGGCGGAAGCCUGAUGCAGCAACGCCGCGUGCGGGAUGACGGCCUUCGGGUUGUAAACCGCUUUCGCCUGUGACGAAGCGUGAGUGACGGUAAUGGGUAAAGAAGCACCGGCUAACUACGUG
rnacentral:rRNA from 1 species